AUUGAACGCUGGCGGCAGGCUUAACACAUGCAAGUCGAGCGGAGUGAUGGUGCUUGCACUAUCACUUAGCGGCGGACGGGUGAGUAAUGCUUAGGAAUCUGCCUAUUAGUGGGGGACAACAUCUCGAAAGGGAUGCUAAUACCGCAUACGUCCUACGGGAGAAAGCAGGGGAUCACUUGUGACCUUGCGCUAAUGGAUGAGCCUAAGUCGGAUUAGCUAGUUGGUGGGGUAAAGGCCUACCAAGGCGACGAUCUGUAGCGGGUCUGAGAGGAUGACCGGCCACACUGGGACUGGGACACGGCCCAGACUCCUACGGGAGGCAGAAGGGGGGAAUAUUGGACAAUGGGGGGAACCCUGAUCCAGCCAUGCCGCGUGUGUGAAGAAGGCCUUAUGGUUGUAAAGCACUUUAAGCGAGGAGGAGGCUCUUUUGGUUAAUACCCAAGAUGAGUGGACGUUACUCGCAGAAUAAGCACCGGCUAACUCUGUGCCCGCAGCCGCCGUAA
rnacentral:rRNA from 1 species